UGGGGUCUCUGCUGAAUCCCUCUUUAGAAAUCAAAGAGAAGGCAGGUGGGGGGAUCUGGGGGGGGGUGCGGGCUGAGGCUCAGUCCUGGGGGCUUGGGGGUGGGAGUGGGACUAAGGCUUCUACUCUAACAGGCCUGGGGUGGGGUGGCAGUCAGCAAGGCCUGCUUCACCCUUUGGUUACGACUGGUCGGGCCUGAGCCCUGCAGCUCAGCACCCAAUGCUGUAAACAUUUUUGGUAUUUUUAAAGGACUCUGUCCUCCCUCUCUUAGUUUCUGAAAAAACUGGUGCUUCCUUAAGAGGAUAAUGUGCCGAAAGGAAUCUUCAGGUAGGCCAGGAAGCAGACCUGGAUAGAGAAGACAGACGUCACCAGGGAGGCUGGGCUGCCCACCUCACCAUCUAUGGCUGAGGGCCGCUGGGAGAGGCCCGGGGACUAUUGCUGUUGUCCUUGGCAUGGCUGGCGGCUGGGCAGGCAGGCGGGGAGCUCGGAGCCGUGGGGGAGCUGCCCGCUGGGAGAGGCCGAGCCCACUGCCCACCCGGCCUCCUGGGGCCAGGCGGCCUCCCGGCCUUUAUUGCAGGCGGGCUGAGACUCUUCCAGGUGCUCCUGUGGAUGGCUGCUCACCGGGCGACAGGCGAGAUGGGGUGAGGUGGGACUGACAGGAGGCGGCACUGGCCACGGGGGGCCCUCGUCAGGGCUGUGAUUGUCGGGCCAAGCGAUUCCCGCUGGGAGCAAGGGGUUAGAUAUUGCACUUUCACUGCAACAGUUACAUUAAAACUUGGUCCAUAAAAUAAUCGUCGCUUUAUACAUAAUGCCUGAAACAACAACAAAAAAGCUACAUCUUAAAUAUGAAUAAACCCUGAAGGUCCCAUCCCUCCAGACAUUUUUCGCUGCACAAAAUAAAUAGCUUUCACUCUGUACAGACCCACUUUUGCAGAACAUUUACACGACCCUUUGGCUGUACAUAUCUACACACGGGAAAAUGUUAACAUCCAUCUGCGCGCCUCCCCGUCCCAGCCCACGAGGCCCUGAGGCCGUAUCCAGGUUGGCAGCAGCUUCGCAUAGAAGGAGCCUGGUCGCUGGACGGCUGGCUGAGGCCUGGCAGGCUCCCCCGUCUCAGAGCAGGUAGAGCAGCAGCGGAGGGGCUGCCGGGGCUGAGGCCACGGCUGAGAUUGCCGUCGGUUCCGGGGAGGGAGGGCUGACGCUCAGCCCCAGCGUGCAGGACAGCGCGGUCCUUACCAGGUGGGAAGUGAAGCCCUGGCUGCCUGCCCUGAAGCUAACUAAGCGAGCUGUGGCUUCUUGGAUUCGGCAUCGAAACGGAAUUGGCGUUAAAAAAACCUACGUGUGUGCCCCACUCACCCCAGAGUAGAAAUUCAGUGGAAUUAACGGGGGUCAAGCGAGGCAGGGAGCCCACGCCCCGCUGCCUGGGCAGGGGACAGGGCCCUGGGACCCAGAACCAGGCUGGACUCCGUCACAGUGCUGGGCGUUUUCAUGUGGAGGGGCUGCGUUUGGUACUGAAAGAGUUAAGAAAAGGAAGCAGCCAAGGAUUGCUCAUUUAAAAAAACCUCAUAGAAAUCAGAUUGGAGAAGUAGAAAGGUGUAGAAACGUGGAAGGGGGCGCCGAGGCGCGGGGCCUUGGCUGACGGCUGGCGAGGAGCGGAAGAAGUAAGCCCGGCUGGUCCCGGCCCCACGGCCCGAGGCGAGGCUUCUCAGGAGCCACCGGCCUGGCGGCCUGGGCUGUGCCUGAGGCUGAGAUGACGCCAGGCCCUUGGCUGGACGGGGCUCCCGGUGGGGCAGCUGGAAGGGGUUGGGAGUCCGGGGCUGCCAUGGGCCAGGCGGAGCUGCAGAAAAUACCAUAUGGCCUUUCUCUCCUACUUGUACAAGGAUUCUCUGCCCUGGAGCCUUCUGUGUGGCGACGGGUCCUGGAUCAGCAAACGCUGAAUUUUCACGCACAUCAACGGAUCUGUAGCCAUAGGAGAUGGUGAUGGGUCUCCACCCUCGAACUUCAGUGCAAAACCAGUGAGGUCGAGCAGUUGAGUAACUCGAGUUAACAAGAAGCAGGCUGUCCCCCGUUGGAGCUGCUACCAAGUGGGAGGGGACUUGGGGGUCGGGGCGAGCUAGUGGACGGGAGGUGCCCAGACCUGGCAUCAGGAUGCUAGGCGGUCAACGCAGGGCAAGCGUCCGGGAGUGCCUUCCCGGCCAGUCCACGCUGGGGGGGGUCCUGGUCCCUCCGUCAUCCUCGGGCUGGUCGUCCUGCCAGCUUCCACGAUACGCUGCAACCCCGCAGACCCUAACACGUGAGGCAGGGCUGGAAGGGCUGUGUGUGGCACGGCCCCGUGUCCUCCGCCGGGCCCUGGGACAAGCUGGGCCCCAGCCGACUGUCCGUGCCCAGGCCAGGCCUCCUGGCAGGGCGGGCCGCCCCGGCCUAGCACCAUGGAGACCACAGCGCCUUGCUCCCGGAGCCCUACUUGGGGCCCGCAGCUGUCCCCGGCUCAGGCCGGCCCGCCAUGGCGCGGCCCCAGCAGCCGGCCGCCAUGCUCAUGCUACGUUGUCCCCGCUGCUCGCUGUCCGCUUGGCUCUGCGUCCGCUCGUGCCGGUGGCCGGGCCCGCUGGGCUGGGCCGAGAUGGUGCGGAGCAGGUGGUUCCGGGAGCGCAGGAAGUCGCCCUGGCCAGGCAGGCCGAAGCUGCCCUUGCGCAGCGCCAUGCGGGUGGCCGCGUUGCGGGCCGGGCGAGCCCGGUGGUUAUACUUGAGCUGGGCCAGGUGGGCCGCGUAGCCAUCGGUGAUGAACUGCGGGGGAGGGAAGGCAACGCGGAGCAUGGCUGUCAGGGGGCGGGGCUCCCGGGGCUGCCCGCCCGCCAGCCAUGACGCGUCUGCUCACCUGGCACUGCUGCUGCAGCUUCUUGGUGGGCCGGCCCACGAUGUAGAUCUGCAUGGGGGACAGGCUGAUGGAGCUGUAGACCGCCACGUCCUUGGUGGAGCCGUAGGCCGCGUGCACGCGCAGGUGCAGCUGUGGGUAAGACGGGCGUGGGCGCGGGCUCGGCCCUUCCGCCCGUCCCCACCCCACUCCCUUCUAGCCGGGACCCACCUCAGAGAUGAGCAGCUUCAGGAAGUUGGCCUUGUGCCUCAGCGGGUCGUGCACCAGGCCGUCACAGAAGGACACCACGCCGUGAGGGAAGUUGUGCUGGGCCAGCCAUGCCACCACCCGCUGCUUCUGCAUGUCAGGCCGGCCCGUCACAUAGAUGAUGAGGUAGCCCAGGUCCUGCCAGUGCCUGGGGGCGAGGGGCAGGCCUGGGUGUCCCACGGAUGCACUGUCCUCCCUCCUGGGCCGCCCAGCCAGUCCCCACGGGGGCCACUAAAGAGCGCCUCUCGGGUCAGGGGCCGACAAUGGCGGCAGCAGCCGGACUGACAGCAGCGCGGUGCUCGCGGCCCCCACCCCCGCCCCCUGCAGCAGGUGUAACUGGUCUUGUUAGAAGCAGCCCCGCUCCCCAGGUAAGGGAACUGAGGCAUCAACAGCAAGAGGUUACAGCUGGGAGGUGUGACCCAGCUGCGGGGUCCCUGCCCCAUGUCCCAGCUCUGGCACCCAGGGCCCCCCGCCGCCUGGCCGUGGAGCUGCCUGCCUCCGAGCCCACCCGCUGCUGCUCGGAGCGCUCACCGCACCACGUCCACGGCCCCGGCCCGCACUUUGGGGUCGCUGCCCAUGAUGGACACGCUGGCGGCGAAGGAGCCGUCGAUGCUGAAGACCACGAACUCCGUGCCCUUGGGCAGCACGGUGAUGUAGCUGUCGGCAAACGUGUGGUCUCCCCUGGGAGGGGGCAGCUCAUCAGAACCCACCAGGGCUCCUUCCUCCCGCCCCCGAACGAGGCUGACCCGGCCUGCUCACUCCUUGGAGCUCAUACCUGACCACCAUCUUGACGGGGUAGACACCCACGCCCAGGCGGUGGGUCUCGGGGAUGGUGUAGGAGACGCGCCCGCUGCUGUUGGUCACCAGCGUGUCCAGGUACAGCCACUCACCCGAGGGCGGCUGCAUCAUGAUGUGCACGUCCACCUGGAGCCGGGAGGGCUGGUCGUGGCUGGGCCGCGCCCUUGGCCUCCCCACCCCCACUUCCCACCCCCCAGCCAGAGGGAGGCGAGGUGGGGGGCUCCCGCGGGCUCCCUGUGUCUUUACCUUCUCCCCGGUCAGGGUGACCAUGUCCAGGGGCCCAUACAUGAACCGGCCUGUCAGGACCUGAGGGCCAUCCUCGUUGGCGACCGCGUCAUUGAUCCGGUGAUUGGCCGUCACGUUCUGGGGGGAGGAGAAGCAAAGCUGGGUCAGGGCUGGGGAUGGAGGGGCGGCUGCGGCCUCCUGGGCUCAGCUCAAGCUUCCCACGGGCCUGGGGCGUGAGUACGGGUGCAAAGCCCGAUGACCCAGCUCAGCCACUGAGCUACGUGGCCUUGGCGCUGGUCCCCGUCUGUAAAUGGGGUAACAGCUCCAACCCCAGACUGUGACGAUUAAGUAAGACAGCACACUUCUCUGUGACUCAGUUUCCUCAUCUGUAAAAUGGGGUCUUCUCGCGCGGAUUCACUAGGACGACAGCUGUGGGGCCUGGGCACUCAGAGGACCCCUCACCCGCAGCUUCACAUGGGUCCUCUUGCGCUGCCACUUCUCUCUCGGCUUUGACGGGGUGAACACCGAGACCUCCUUGCCGUCCAGUUCCAAGAUGCUGGAGUUGUCGUGCCUCAUGACCUGGGAGGGGACACAGAGGGAGGCCAUGGGGCAGGCUCAAGCCUGGGGCUUCCUGUUCUAGAGGGGAGAGGCCAGCGGCCCUAGGGGCCACACUACCCAUGGGAGGGUUUGGCGGGGGGCAGUAUUUGACCCCACUGCAGUCUGCUCUCUGGCCUGUUAGGGUGCACAUCCAUUCACCCCAUCUCAACAUCCCCACGGCUUCCUCCAUCCUGCUGGCUGUGGCAUCUGCUGGGGCCAGAAAGUGGGGCUCCCCACCGUCCUCAUCUAUGAAAUGGGGCCACCUCAGCAGCGGUGUCAGUCGGGCCUCCUGAGAGGUGCAGGUGUGCCCGGCAGCGGGACCCUGGGUACCUGUCUCAGCAGGAAGGAGACCACAUCCGUGGACUCCCAGUAGCUGGCGUGGAAGAGGUGGGGCAGGGCCACGGUGGGGAAGGCCGUCAGGGCGUCGGGGCAGUACAGGGCGUAGUCGAUCCGCUUCUGACCCCACCACUUCGCCGCAACUGCCAAGAGGAGGGGCUGUGACUGGGCUGGGCCCCAGGGGCUCACCUGGCCCCUCAGGCCGGGCGCAGCCCAAAGGCAAGACCCUCCUCUGACCAGAGAGAAGGGCUGCAGCCAAAGCAAGUCUCCUUCUCCCAGGCUCGGCGACGGGAGCAGCAAGCAGCCAGGGCGCCUGAGGAGGGGGAGGUGGGGGACUGCGGCUCAGCCGGGAGGAUGUGGAGAUACAGGGCGAGGGGACACGCCCAGUCCGGAGGCAGGACGCCCUGGCCCUGGUCCUGUCCACUCCCCGCCUUGGGCCUUAUCACUGCCCUCUCCAGGCUUCUCCUGGACCCCCUGUCUGCCCCCGCAGGCCUCAAGGAUGUGCGAGGCUUUGCAGAGAUGGAGUCACGAUUCCUGGGCCCCAAGGCAAGGCCCGCUGUCCUCAGCACCUGGCAGGCAGGGUGUGAAGUGAGGGCCUUCAGUCUACAGAGCCUGCGCGUGAAGCCGGCUCCCCCUCCAGGCUCGGGGACCGCCCAGAGUCCUCUAUGGACACGGGGGCUGGAUCACUCUUCGCCGCGGGGCCGUCCUGGGCACCGUACAGUGUUGAGCAGCAUACCUGGUCUCCACCCACCAGAUGCCAGUGGCGCCCACCCCAGUUGCCUCCAGACGCUGCAAACUGUCCUCUGGGGGACGGGCACAGUGGCCGCCAUUGAGACUGGCUGCGACAGGGCACAGCCCCCUUGCUGUGGCGGGGAGGGCAGGCCCGGCACUGCUGCACUCACUCUGGGCAAUGCUGGACGCCGUGUAGCUCUCAGCCAUGCCCGACACCUGGCUGGCGAUGCUGAUCUCGCUGGCCCGGCGGAAACCUCGGGCAGUGGGGGCUGUGCCGGGCGAGGAGGGGGCCGCGUGCUCUUGGAAGACCGCGUUGUGGGCCUGGAGUGCAUCUGCUGCAGGUGGACAGGGACCAGAGACCGCAGGACCCACAUCUAGACGGGGUGCAGGAGAUGCCUGGACCUCCUCAGGAAGAGGGAGUGGGGCCUUGAGAAUCCAAGCCCUCGCCAGGACCGAAGUCUUCUCCUGGGGGUCAGGUGGGUCCCAGCGGGCUCGAGGCCUCACCCCAACUCCUGCUGCUAGCCUCACAAACAGGGGAGAGAACCCUCGGACUGACACCUGUGCUGGGUGACCCUGAGGCAGCUGCUCCCCUCUCUGGGCUCAUGCACCUCCUCUGCUUUGGGUCCCCUCCCUGCUCUGCCUAGUGUCCAGAGAGGGGGCACCAAGCCUGCUCCCAGGGCCUGUCCUGCCUGGUCUCUGCUUCUCGCCACCACAGUUCCACAAAUUCCGGGUAGUCAAGGAGGGCACGGGGGUCCCUGAGGACCAGCGGUCAGCCGGUGAAGCAGACGCCACCACGAGCAGGGGGGUUACACACACUCAGCAGAGCUCGGGCUGGGGUGGGGCCCGUCUCGCCAGGUGACUGUGAGAACGGGGUACUGGUCUCCAGGAAGCCAUCCCUGUGAGGGAGGGGGACCAGGGGGCCGCCCUCCAGGAACAGCUGGGGGCUUCUCUGCACGGUCUGGACUGGAGGCAUAUGGGGAGAGAAGAGGGGACACAAGAAUAGACAUUUGUGUGCACGUGACACAGACACGUGCCGCUCCUCAAGAGCCAGGACGUGACAGGACUAGGACACGGGGGCAGGUG